GCACUUCUUUCAGAUGAGCAUAAGAAACCGUUCUCACUGGAUGUACAUAAAGCACAUUUGACAUAUACUGGACUGUGGUAUCAACCCUCGUAGUUACUUAUGAAUUUCAUCACUAAAACUUAGAGGCAGCGGUAGCAGUCCAGCAGCAGGUCUGAUCGGUGAGCGGCUAUAAUGUCUGUGGGUCUGUUAGAAGAACUGAGACCAGAGACAGCAGCAGGGCAGUCCAGUCCAGCAUGCAGACGGCAGUGGUUGAGCUCCGAGCAAUUGCAUUAAAGCUACUGGGGUCAUUCAGCUGCGGAUCCUGUGGAAAAAGAUCCCACACAAACUGCCUCAAGCAUACCGAGACUCAAUUUCCAGCCCUAUUUCAUGUAUUUCCCACCAAGAACUGACAUCCUGCAGAGUGUUGCAAUUAGAUAAAGCAACUAAACUCGGUUUAAAAUAGGUUUUAUUUAUGGUGCGUUUUAAUCUUUUGCCUGAAGAACUUCCCUCAGCUGCUUGUACACUUUUCCUUUUGUUUCCCUCCUCUCAAUCUACACAGCAUUUGCGUCUCUUGAAUAAACAACCUCAGGUGAAUGCUUCGCUUUCACUCGCAUGGAUAAGUUUACAACCCUGAAAACUCUGUUUGCCUUUCCUCUCUCUUUUGUAAGCAGUCUUUUUGCUUUAAUACACAUUCCUAAGAACACAAAUGCUGUCAGACUAUUUAGCAAUGCAAAAAGAAAGAACAUAAUAUACU